GUUCAUCUCUCCGCUCUUCCGUUCUGUCCUGUGACGCGUGGGUAAAACGGCGAAGGGAUUCUGGAGGGAAACGCCGAAGGGCCUCACUCGAUUGCUACUUUGGUCUGGUACUGUACUGCUGCUGCUACCUUCUCUCUCCCCAUUACUCGUGUAAUGGCGAGGACGCAAUAGCGCUAGCGCUCAGUGGAGCGGCGGCGGCGGCGGCGGCAGCAGCGCAGGCCAUCGCGGAAUUGCUCGCUGCUGCGGCCCAGUGGCGUGGCGGCCCGCGUGUCGCGCUCCAUGCGGCACUGGUGCGCCUCGUGAGAUCCAUCCGCAGCAGCAGGCAUGUCGCGGCCGCUGUACAGGGGCGUGUCGGGGAUCGGCGGCAAGCUGGCGGCGGCGGACGAGGCGUACUACGACCCCAAGGAGCCCAGCGAGAACGGCAUUGGCGGGGGCUUCGGCCGGGGCGGCGCGCGGAAGCGGCACCUCGCGGCCGCGGCGGUGAAGAUCGGGGUCCUGCUGCUGCUGGCGGCGGCGCUCGUGGGCUCGGUCGCGUGGGCGGGGACGCUCUACGCGGGGCGCGGCGCGGCGGCGCGCGCGGCCGCAGCCGCCGCGCACCGCGGGUACCGGCGGCUGCAGGAGCAGCUGGUCACGGACCUGCUCGACAUCGGCGAGCUCGCGGGCGGCGGCGUCCGCGCCAAGGAGGCGGAGGUGUGCCCGCCCGAGUACGACAACUACGUGCCCUGCUACUACAACAUCACGGACGCCGUCGACGUCUCGGAUCUGGGGGCCGGCGUCGUCAUAAGCUACGACCGCCAGUGCACGCGCGACGGCAGGGUCACUUGCCUCGUCGCGCCGCCGCGGAGCUACCGGGUUCCCGUGCGAUGGCCCAGCGGCAAGGGCUUCAUCUGGAAGGACAACGUGCGGAUCAGCGGGCAGGAGUUCUCGUCCGGAAGCCUGUUCAAGAGGAUGAUGGUGGAGGAGGACCAGAUCUCGUUCCCGUCGGACGCGCACAUGGCCGACGGUGUGGAGGAUUAUGCCCAUCAAAUCGCUGAGAUGAUUGGGUUGCGGAAUGAAUUCAAUUUCAAUGAGGCUGGGGUUAGGACAGUCCUUGACAUAGAAUGUGGAUUUGGUACCUUUGGGGCGCAUCUUUUUGAGAGAGAUCUCUUGACCAUGUGCAUUGCUAACUAUGAAGCAUCAGGUAGCCAAGUCCAAAUUACACUGGAGAGAGGCAUUCCUGCAAUGAUUGGUUCAUUUGCAACGAAGCAGCUUCCGUAUCCCUAUCUUUCCUUUGAUAUGGUGCAUUGUGCUAAAUGCAAUAUUGAAUGGUACAAAAAUGAUGGCAUUUUCUUGGUUGAAGUGAACAGGCUUUUGAGGCCUGGUGGAUAUUUUGUAUGGACAUCGAAUUUGAAUACACAUAGGGCCUUGCGAGACAAAGAAAACCAAAAGAAAUGGACAGCCAUUCGUGACUACGCUGAGGGCCUUUGUUGGGAGAUGCUGUCACAACAAGAUGAGACAAUUGUAUGGAAAAAGACGAAUAAAAGGGAAUGUUACAAAUCAAGAAAAUUUGGGCCUGAGCUAUGUGGCCAUGAUCCAGAAUCACCAUACUACCAACCACUAAGCCCCUGCAUAUCAGGCACAAGAAGUCAGCGUUGGAUCCCCAUUGAACACCGUACCACCUGGCCAUCUCAGGCUAGGCAAAACUCAACAGAACUGGACAUACAUGGUGUGCAUUCAGAAGUCUUCGCUGAUGAUAAUUCAAGCUGGGACUCCAUGGUGCGAAACUACUGGUCUUUGCUAUCCCCACUUAUAUUUUCAGACCAUCCAAAGAGACCUGGUGAUGAAGACCCACAACCACCAUUUAACAUGCUAAGGAAUGUUUUAGAUAUGAAUGCUCAUUUUGGUGGAUUUAAUGCUGCUUUACUGAAGUCUGGAAAGUCUGUAUGGGUGAUGAAUGUUGUUCCUACAAAUGCCCCAAAUUAUCUACCACUAAUAUUUGACCGUGGUUUUAUUGGGGUUCAACAUGAUUGGUGUGACGCAUUUGCAACUUACCCAAGAACAUAUGAUAUGGUGCAUGCUGAUGGCUUUCUAUCACUUGAGAAGACCCACAAGCAUAGAUGUUCUACUCUUGACAUAUUCUUGGAAGUUGAUCGCAUCCUACGACCAGAGGGCUGGGUCAUAAUCCGUGACACCGCCCCUCUUAUUGAAGCGGCAAGAUCUGUUGUUACUCAACUCAGAUGGGAUGCCCGUAUUUUAGAUCUUGACAUAGCUAGUGAUGAAAAGCUACUCGUCUGUCAGAAGCCCUUUCUCAGAAAAUAAGGAGCACAAGCACAGUAGACACUGACACAAGAUAUGAACUUAUUCUUUCACCCUAUACUGUUACAGUUAUUGUCUGAGCAGAACUGAGUACAAAGCUUGGGACGAAAACACGGGAAGGUGCCAUUAGAUUGGUUAGUAAGUGCAUGCUGCAGAGAACAGGCUUGGUGGCAAAGCUUUCCAGGCCAAGGUUUUAUUGCCAAGACACAGAGAUGAAGCCAUGAAAUUACUUUAGUGGUGAAAACCAUAUCCAAUAAAGGGAUGACGCUGCGGUGUACAUAAUCGCGGUCAAUGUGCCAUAUAGGGUUUUUUUUUGGCCAUUUAACGUUAGUCGGAGCUACUGAGGUGAGCUGGUAUUGCUCUGUGGCUUCAACCUCCCGUGCUUUUGUGGAGGAUUGCGCGUCCAGUUCAUGUUAGCUGUAGUUUGGUAUCUGCCACAACCAAUUGGGCUGCCCCAUUGCGACGGUGAUGUGCCACCUUAAUCCGAAGGGAUUAGCUUGUCAUUCUUCCGUGGUUUGGACCAUCCCCUUUUGCCUGCUUGUAUGUUUGACUCUGCUAAUACUCUGGGCUAGCAUAAAAAAAAUUAACUAGAAAAUGGUAACAACAGGUUAGAUCGUGUUUAAUAGUUUACCCAUAUGUGUUCGCUUGGCUUUAACCCUAAAGGACUUUUAAUGUUUUUACAGUGUUUUAUUUCUAUGAAUUGCAGUAGCAGCAGUUCGAACAGUUGACUUUAAUCUGAAACGAACAACCUAUAUUUGAA